GAAGGAGUUGAGUGAUGGUAGAUAUCAGGCCCUGGUCUGCGGCUUGGAAGUUUCCUGUGAAUAAGAAAAACAUCAUCGCUUCUUGAGUCACAAGGAUGAUAGGAUGAGAAAAAGAAAGGACAAAGGCACCAGAGGAGGUAUGCCAAAUGGGAAACUUUUCAUCACUUUCCAGAUAUAAACUAGCAGUCUGUGAAGGCAACUGGUCUGAUUUUUCAGGUGAGAACAUAUGAGAGGCAGGCUGAGACCAAUUUUCUACCAGGCCAGCUAAUUCAUCACAAUGACAAGCUAUGGGUCAUAUGCUUCCAGGAACCAGACACUGGAACAUGUCGUCUGAUGUACAUCACACCAAAUUGGAAAGCCGAAGUCCAAUUAUUUACUGAAACAGAAUCCACUGGAGAGAAAUGUAAAGGCAGGUAAAAAGGCAAUCUCUUAACAUGAAAACUCACAACUGUAAAACGAGAACCUAAACCACACAGCGACAAGCUCAGGAAAAAGUCUCCAGCUACUGCUGUCUCUCAGACUCUCACAAUAUGUGUAACCACUUCCUCCUCUGCACGGAAUCACCCCAGAAGAUCAACUCUACUAGAUCGUUUGAGGACAAUGAACAAAGUCUCAAGACUGAAUUCCCACAGAAAACAUUCUCAUGAAACCACCCAAUAUUUUGGUGAAGUUAAAGAAAGGCAUGUGUUCGGAGACAACCAGAAGCAGCAAUGCUCAAAACCACAAAACUCUGGAUUGCCGACUCUGCACAUCCUGGUUCCUCUAGAUACAGUUCAGUGGCACAUUCACAAAUAAACGUUUUCAAAAACUGCCCUCAGGCAGUUCUGGAGAAAUGCUUUGACUUGCCUAAUGGUAUAAUGUCAAGAAAGGAAGACCAGCACUGAUCAUUGAUACUCAUUAUUACAGUCACAGGGCACUGUCUGACUUGACAGAUACAGCCAAGCAGUUGAAAGGUUAUGGGAAUUUAAGUCCAUUAUGGUCAUAUGAUUCUUAUGGACCCAGAGAUGUGAAAUUAAUCAGCCACAUGUGUAGGGACAAAGUUUGUCAUAAAUAGAUAUAAGUUAUCUGCAUGCUAAGAACUUAGUUACUUAACUCUGUUUCCUCAUGUUAAAAUAAACAUAACUAUUGAGUAUAUUAUUAGAUAGGCUCCAUAAUUAUUUAUUCCUUUUUCAACAGACAGUAUGAUCUAUUGAAAAUAAAGCCAAACUAGAUUUCUUUGACCCACUCCUUUUUCUGUUUGUAUUGUUGGCAAGUUGUUCUAAAUCAACUUGCCAACAUAUUAUUAA
rnacentral:lncRNA from 1 species